rnacentral:tRNA from 1 species
AGUAAAGUCAGCUAACAAGCUUUUAGGCCCAUGCCCUAACCAUAUUGGUGAAAACCCUCUCCUUACUA